GAAAUGCGAUAAGUAAUGUGAAUUGCAGAAUUCAGUGAAUCAUCGAAUCUUUGAACGCAGCUUGCGCUCCCUGGUAUUCCUUGGAGCAUGCCUGUUUGAGUAUCAUGAAAUCUUCAAAGUAAAUCUUUUGUUAACUCAAUUGGUUUCUACUUUGGUAUUGGAGGUCUUUGCAGCUUCACACCUGCUCCUCUUUGUUCAUUAGCUGGAUCUCAGUGUUAUGCUUGGUUCCACUCGGCGUGAUAAGUUAUCUAUCGCUGAGGACACUGUAAAAGGUGGCCAAGGUAAAUGCAGAUGAACCGCUUCUAAUAGUCCAUUGACUUGGAAAAUACUUUUAUGAUCUGAUCUCAAAUCAGGUAGGACUACCCGCUGAACUUAAGC
rnacentral:misc_RNA from 1 species